rnacentral:lncRNA from 1 species
GUGAGAUCUGGAUGUUUAAAGGCAUAUGGCACCUCCCCGCUCACUCUCUUGUGCUCCUGCUCUUGCCAAUGUGAUGUGCCUGUUCUCUACCACCUUCUGCCAUGAAAUCCUCCUUCAUACUGUUCUAUUUCUCCUGUGACACGGAAGGAUUCAGGUUUUGUGAGACCUGAAGCUAAUACAAUUUGGAGGACCAUCUUUAAGCAAAAGAGUACAAAAUUACGAAUACAAAACCAGGUCAGUAGGGAUUCUGCUCCACACACUGACUCAGGGACCCAGCUUGAUGAACACACCAAGAUCCCAACAAAUGGUCUUCACAGUCAUCAGGGCAAGAAAAGAGAGGAACUGGAAGAUGAAGUGCUGGCUCUUCAAUGCUUUGGGAAGCGACGCAGAUCACAUCAACUGAUAACCCAUUGUCCAGGACUAGUCACAUGACCCCAACUAACUGCUGGGGGCUGGAACACACGGGAGAACAAGUGGACUUUGGUGAGCAGAAAAUGCCUCUGCCACAGCCUCUUGGUACUUAUUGAACAUAGGAUGUGUCUUUUGAUUUAAUACUAUUAAUAGUUUGCAUUUGCAUAAAUCUCAUUAUAAAGGCAUUUUAGGUUAUUUCCAUUUAUUGUCUUAUUCUCCUCUCCUCAAGCUCUUAAAGAAACUAAGGUCCACAAAGUGGAAGUAACAACAUAAUAAGUGGAAAGGAGGAAUAAAAGCCAGGGUUGUGACCUGAGCUUUUUCUGCUCUUCCACAGUGGCUGCAGAGAAACGAAUGCUUUGUCAAGAAUUUAAUUUGAAUUUCCUUGGAGCCUUCUUAAAGAUCAUGGUGGUGGUGGGUGGGGGGAGACACAGAACCUGAUUAACUGUUUGCUGUUGAGAAAGCAAUGACUGUACCAAGAUUUUACUGAGAUUUUUGCGAAAUGGGCUGGUUUCCCGAAAUGGGCUGGUUUCCCGACAAAAACUCAUUCCUUUCUCGUUAAAAUACAAUUGCUUCCUCUUCUGGGAGCUGGUUUUAUGCUAUGUUGCAAUGCACCUCUUGUUUCCACUCCAGCUAACUGUGUCCUUAACCUUAUCCUGACCUCAUAGAACCACAGCCCUGGCUCAGCACUUAAGUAAAACCCGCCCAGAGAGGGGCAUGGGGCUUCUGAGCUGGAGUGGCCCCGAACUGGAAGGGACUUGAAUGAGAAGGGGCAUAUCAUGGAUUGUCCCAGGGUGGAAACCACCUGGACUUCUGCCUUGGUGAGCAAAAAUCAGACUCAAGAGGAACCAGUGUCCCAAAAUGGGCCUACAGUGUGAAUGAGGAAAAUAGCUAACUACCUCUUAUGUGGCACUCACAUGGGGCCAGGCAGUUUUAAGCACUUUGCUCUUUUAACUCAUUUCACCCCCACAGAAACUCCUCAUAAGGUCAGUAUUAUUAUUAUUACCACCAUUGUAAACAUAUGGGAACCAGAUAUAGGCAGCAAAAAUGACACCUCCAAGGUGGCACUGCUAGUACAAGGCAGCGUUGCGAUGACACCCGAGUAUGACAUCUGAAUAUGUGUAAGAUACUCCACCAAUAAUGAUUUUUCCCCCUGAUUAGGAAGACCAAAAAACUUUUGUAUAAAAAUAAAAAACUAUGGUGCAUAAGGAGGGAUGAGUUGGAUAACUUUUAAAACGUCUGAUGCUUAUUGCCAACUUGCCCUCCAGAAAGAGAAAGCAACCUAUACUUCCAGAGCAGGGUACUGGGAGUAAUUCUGCCUCGAUAAUCUCUGGGCCCUGAUGCAAAGGGGUGUACUGUGACAGCAUGGCUCACUAAGCCUCCUGGACACAAAUCUCUUCUCAAAUUGGUUUCCAGGACUCAGGCUCAGACAUGAAAUAAAG